rnacentral:rRNA from 1 species
GAUGAACGCUGGCGGCGUGCUUAACACAUGCGAGUCGAACGGAAAGGCCCAAGCUUGCUUGGGUCCUCGAGUGGCGAACGGGUGAGUAACACGUGGGUGAUCUGCCCUGCACUUCGGGAUAAGCCUGGGAAACUGGGUCUAAUACCGGAUAGGACGACGGUUUGGAUGCCAUUGUGGAAAGUUUUUUCGGUGUGGGAUGAGCUCGCGGCCUAUCAGCUUGUUGGUGGGGUAAUGGCCUACCAAGGCGUCGACGGGUAGCCGGCCUGAGAGGGUGUACGGCCACAGUGGGACUGAGAUACGGCCCAGACUCCUACGGGAGGCAGCAGUGGGGAAUAUUGCACAAUGGGCGCAAGCCUGAUGCAGCGACGCCGCGUGGGGGAUGACGGCCUUCGGGUUGUAAACUCCUUUCGCUAGGGACGAAGCGUUUUUGUGACGGUACCUGGAGAAGAAGCACCGGCUAACUACGUG